GUUGCCGCUAGAUGGAGAUUCAUGCGAUUCCCCCUCCUACGCAGUUCCCACCCUUUUUAACCACAAUAAUGACAGCUGUCAAUUCUCGAUUCAAAGAAUUUUGUGAGUAACGUUUUCAGUAGAACUGCAAAUCAAAUCACUGAAAUCAGUUAUCAGCAAAUAGUUCGAGCUACGACAGGGUGCCCUUCUCGAAUUCCCACCAACUUAUAUCAAAGUUUAGUCGUCUUCUUCUAUGACUUCUAACAUUGUCUCGAAUAACUGGGAGGAAGUGGAUAGCAAAGAGGUUCGAAACCCUGGUAAUUGAAACAAACGGGAAAAAGGAAAGCAUUUUAAUCGAAAAAGAAUGAAUUUGUCUUAUACCUUGAUGGAAUGAAAAUUACCUCAAUGUUUAUCAUUGCCUCAAAUGUGGAUCAACACUUUAAAUACAAAUAUUAACAAGAUUUCCUUUCUAGGAUGUGAUUCUUCAUGAUUUGGAUACAAGCAUUGUAUAGAAGCGGAAAGCGCUUUAAUGGUCCACUAACUUUGGAAAGAAUACUAUUCAGUUUACGUAUAUCAUUGAAACAAAGGCCACUGAUAGGAAAUGGAGAGGAGGGCUUUUCCCCGGCCUACUGGUUCAGUUUGGAGAUGCUACAUUGAGUUGGAAUUACUGAGGUUUCAAGAGAGCAAGUAUCCUGAAGCAAUUAUCCCACCUCUACCUGGAAAAAAAGGCAUCAUUCACUCGCCCAAGUCAAAAGCAGUGAUAAUAUUGAUCCUGUAUUUGUUGAUUGCAGAAGAGUAGGAUUGGAGAACUUCCUCUUACGUGUGGACGCCCAUCCCAUUUGAUGCCACGAUGACCAAGUCUUGCUCAUGUUUCUUCAAUCAGAUCGCUAGUAUGGUCAGAUCUCGACGUUAAUGCAGAUGGCGGGAAAUAUAUGUUCAGCAAGCAGAAUUCAAUGAGAUUGAAAAGACCCGAUGAUAACGUGGAAGAAAUUCGCCACUACAGUUCAGAACUACAGUCAAGUUUAUUGGGGAACCUGUUGAGGCUUCGCGUCCGUCUAGCCGAUCGACUCUUUGCUAUCCACAAGCUACACGCUAAUUAUGUUGAAGGCAUUAUAUUUCUCGUGAAGGACAAACUUUGGUGAGCCUCCUUGACAUUUGGACGUCAGAUUGGUCGGCUGAAUACUUCCCAAUCAAUGCGGUCACAGUGUUUAUCUCAUUCAAAGACAUUCUUUACUCGCACGAGAAAAAAGCAGGCACUGAGCCGCCAGUCCGCCAGCUAGAACUUUAGUGUCACUGUUAAUCAAAGUUAUGCUGCAAAAUAAGAAAUUUGCAGUACUUUUUUUUUUUCAGGAAUACCUAAAUGAUUUAAUUAUUUGGAUAUGGCGCUAUUAACGCGGAUCAAGUUGUAAAUCAAAUCGGCUCCUCUUUUUCAUCUUCGUAUUCAAACAACCAAUUUUAUCAAGUACAGCAGUGUACCAAACAGCAGAGAAUUUAUCUUGAUCGUGAAAUUUUUCUUUAAAAUUCUUAAUUCUAAAUUAUUAUUAUCUCACCAUGAUCUCACGAAGAAAACCGUAUAACGCCGCGGAGAAAACAAUGAACUUGUAAGUAACACUUGAUCGCUAGAUGUCGUUUGAAUCGCAAGAUGUUAAAAGGCGCGUUUUUUUAAAAGAAGCAUUUUAUUUUGUAUUCGUUGUGGAAUAAUAGAUUAAAGAAGACGCACAAGGUUUUCAGCUGAUUGCUCAGAAAAAAAUGUUUCUUGUAUUUUUACAGCCAAGAUUGCAGUCAUUGAAUGCUUCAUUUUUGUAGUGUUUUGCUUAAAUUGUUGUAUCACUUCAGGUGAAAGCACUUCUAUAUUUAAAUUUCUCACCGUUUGCUUUUCAUUUGAUAUUCAUAUUUUUAAGGGGAAGGGAUAGAAAAAUGUCGUAGUGUUUGGCCUGAAGAUAGUGAUACCGCCAGUCUUUUCCUGCUGGUAUCUCGUCUGGGACUUUAUAACGGAAAAUCACGUCCGGUCAAAUUUCCCGCCUAGAUCUUCGUUUUCCUUUCCAAGUUCAAAAUAGUAACCAUCAGAUAGACUUCGAACACAAAAAAAGAAACAAAAAUUUGUCUUUUUCCCGGUUGUAGCACUCAUCACCCUCCAUUGUUUGCGGUCGGUUGCAUCCAUUCAAUUUUGCUGAACGUCUCACUAUUUAAGGCAGCACGGCCAAUUGAAAGUCGAUCCGCUCUGGAAUAUGUGAACUUGAUCCUGCAUUCAUCCGUGAAAAUGCCCAUCGUCAUCAUGUUGGCUCGAAGCUGGAAAACAUGCAACGUGGUGUUGCUUGUGCCGACUGGCUGGUAUCGUUCGAACCUUGACCCCCGAAGCUUCUUUUGGAACUGUCGUCCACUGGAUGCGACUGACGACAGAUGCAACGAAAGUGGAACCGCGAUAUCCUGAAAACGGUGGAGGGAACUAUAACUAUUAUCUCAUUUCCAUUGAUGCAAUUUACCUGGUGGAAGGCGAUUAUGGUCGAUAUCAACGACUGCACCGUUGGCUAUCCAUUGCCAAAAGAAAACAACGGGCAGCUCAGCUCUCUCUCCCGGCUCAGCACGACAAUCUAUUUCGAGUUGAUUGCCAAGUUCCACUCUACGAGUUAACUGUGUCGCUUUGACCCCACCACCUGCGAAUGUCAACAUUUAUUUCACGCAAGUUAAUUCAUCGAAAGCCUCGAAACGGAAGUUGAUGAGCCUAUCCGGCGGAUGCCUUCUGGAUCCGCACGUCGAAUGCGGAUUCAAGUCCAAAUAUUUCCCGAUUGACAGCGUCUUGAGGUUUAUCCUGGUGGAGGAUCUCAUUCUCUGGAGACGAGGAUACACUUCACACUUGGAAGAAAACUUGACGAAAAUUUUGCAACCGGAAGACAUGAUUCAUAUCGACACGAUGAUCACCAGCAUUUUGCUUUGUUUGUUUUCCAAGAGUUUCGUCAUUCUGGAACACUUUGGCAAUUUCGAAGAAACGUUUGAAAAAUCCGCCAUCAUUUCGACGAUUUUAAGAACUGUAGCGAGAAAGCACGGACCCUAUUUAGACGUCAUUUCGUGUACAUCGAUCAUGAAAAACUGGUUUUAUCCCAAUAAAAGUUAGUUGUAAAACUGUUAUCAAUUGAUUAUUUUUUUUUU